CCUACGGGUGGCAGCAGUGAGGAAUAUUGGUCAAUGGGCGGGAGCCUGAACCAGCCAAGUCGCGUGAGGGAAGACGGUCCUAUGGAUUGUAAACCUCUUUAGGCGGGGAGCAAUGCCGGGCACGCGUGCCCGGAGGGAGAGUACCCGCAGAAUAAGCAUCGGCUAACUCCGUGCCAGCAGCCGCGGUAAUACGGAGGAUGCGAGCGUAAUCGGGAUUUAUUGGGUUUAAAGGGUGCGUAGGCGGAGUUUUAAGUCAGCGGUAAAAUGUCGGGGCUCAACCCGGGCCGGCCGUUGAAACUGGGGAGCUUGAGUGGGCGAGAGGGAUGCAGAAUGCGAGGUGUAGCGGUGAAAUGCGUAGAGAUGACGAAGAACUCCGAUUGCGAAGGCAGCAUACCGGAGACCGACUGACGCUGAGGCGCGAAAGCGUGGGGAUCGAACAGGAUUAGAUACCCUGGUAGUC
rnacentral:rRNA from 1 species